AGAAUGUUCUCAAACAAAUGAAACCAAGGAUCCGAGGGGGCACCUCCCAGCCAGGAGGCCUAGUACUCAUGUCUCAAUGUCCUGAACAUAUAAACAUGAGGGGGGAUUAUUACAUCAGCAUUGCUCCUGUCUUCUCUCCCACAAUGUAUGGGCCAUGCCCCAUAUGCCGGCCACCACUGCAGUGGGCCACUGUCACUCCUGAGCAGAGAAGAGGCCCUGGAGCCUAUGUGCAAGUCUGAGCUCUGCCACUUCCUGGGCUCUGUGAUCCUGGGGGUGCUUCUGAAGCUCUCUGUGCCUCAUGUCCCUCACCCAGAGAAAGGACAUAGGCACCUUGCACUUCACAGUGGGAUGAGUCAUGAAAAUGGCCGUUGCUCAUGGGGCUCUUCUGGUCAGUCUGCUCCCUCCUGAAGGGGCAACGAAUGAACGAAUGCACUCUGCUGUUGCCAUCACUGUAGGGUCUGCUUUGCUGAGGAAUGGAUCUGGGGAACUCUGAUGCAUCACAAGGGAGCCUAAACGGUGAUCGGCUGUGCCAGGCUCCCCAGGGGAAGCUAACACCAGAGAGGCAACGCAAUACGGGAACCCGACAUCACUGCAGCCAACAUGCUUGACACUGAGCUGCUUUGCUGAGGUCUGAAACAAGGGGAGCCUGAUUCCGCCUCUCCUCUGUCUCCCAUCUCACCACGACAUGCGAGACACUGCUAACCACCACUCCCAGAGGAUCUCCUAUCCUUCUGAUCUUAGUGUAACCAAAAGGAUGGGAGCAACUUCCACACAGCAUGAAGAAGGCAUUUUUACCCACUAACCUCCCAGAUGGAAAUGACUCAGAUGGUGAGUUUCAUGUUAUGUGUAUUUUACCACAAGUUUUUUUUAACUAAGAAAAUAAAUAUAUUCUUGAUGAAAGAACAGAAGAGAGUUGUCAGUCCACUCAUUCUUGAGCCUGGAACAGCCAAAGGGAAAAUUACACAGAUGAGGAAUGAGACCUCAGAGGACCCGUGAGAGCCACAGGAAGGGACUCCACAGGGUGAGAACUGAGGAACACAGGGGACCUUCUCAGUUAGACUGUAAGUGAGCAGGUGGCACCAGACCAGGCAUCAGGCCUGUGGCACCAACCAAUAAUGGACUCAGGCCCACACCCACAAGCACUUCACAGAAGUCAGAGGACAGAGGAAAAUGUUACCACCAAUGAUGAAGUGAAAUUUUUUAACAGCAUGAGAAGUUGGCUCAAUUGCAUGCAUGCUUGCUAGCUUGCUUGCUUGUGAAGGGCUAGGAGGUAGUCCCUAAUCCAUGAGCAUACUGGUAAGAACUCUCCAUCGAGAAAAACACUCCUGAGCCUUCAAAGGACAAUUUUGAAAGAGACUUUAGAAAGUCUUGUUUCAAAAGCCUAAGUCCUGACAUUCGGGCAGACUCCUUGACAUAAUUUAAACAGAGACAGACCAUCUGCACCUACCCAUUUGAUGAAAAGCCGACCAAGGCUACAGGAGUCCCUGAGGUUCACAGGCUUAAGCUGAGACAUGACCCUUUGUUCCCCAAACAUUCUGAGCCACACUGGCAGAAGGAACCCAACACCUUUGCUCCAACCUUCCUAAGCACUAAUCCCCUGGUGGUAUGGCAGCCAUAAAUACAAAUCAUUUAAAGCUGAGACACUUCAGUGAGCCCCUUGCCUGGCUCUCCACCUUGACCCUUCAUCCAGGAAGCAUAUCCACAACCCAGAAGCCCAUGGACCCUGCAGCAGAGCAAUUCUGACCUGAAUACAACAUGUUCUAGGUCAUGUAAAGCACACUAAAGGCCACUUGGGUCAUGAGGUCAGGUGCAGGUCUCCUCCUCUGCCCUAAGCCUGCUGGGCUGUGGCUGGCCCAUUUGACCCUGGUCGUAGGAGAUGAGUCUGGGAUCCACCCAGGCUACCAUGGGGGCAGAACUGUAAGGCAGGCUUCAACUAUGCAGUUCUCAUUAAAUGAGAGAAAAGUGGGCUAUUGUGACCACAAAGGCAGCUAAAGGCUGUCACAGUGCAGUCGUUCGAAAUAAAACCUAUCCCAUUAGGAACGCUGCAAUGGCAGCCCAUUUCCAGUACUGUGCUCCGGGUCAGCCCAGCUGUCAGAAGAUAAGGGUUUCAAAUUGAAAAUCAAAGAGCCACUGUACAGCUUUAGACAAAGGAAAUGAUGUGCACGUGGGCAGAUGCUAAAGUCACCCACAUGAAGAGCUGCCCAAGAUGAGCGCCCGAUCCCUAAUAGAAAUCACUCCUGAUUUCUCACUCUCACGCAGUGUUCAGGCACAGGAGGGCCAAGACUGUGUUCUUGACUGGGUUGUGCUGGCUGAAUCCCUGCUGGGAACAGUGCUGUCUCCCCAGUGUAAGGGUGACUGACAAAGCCAACAUUAUUGUCACAAAAAGCCACCCCAUUUUCAGCAUUUGCCCUACAAUUAUAGAACCCAACCCCAAACUGGAAAGAACGGAUUAACUGAAGCAGACCUCACAUUCAGUUGGCCAAGGAAUUGUCCCCAUUAGAAUUACGGGAACAUGUCAACCCUUAGUGUCAGUCAUCUGGAUUGGGCCACCAGGAAAGUCUAAUGGUCCCAGAAAACCCCUACAGAGAGAGGCAUCCACACUCAGGCAAAAGUGCACGGGAAACAAAACAUAUUUCUACUUAGCCAAGGAACAUACUAACCACAGUUUCCAUUGCAAGUUUCAGAGCUUAAACACAAGUCCAGGGUCAGCCUGAGUAACCCAGAAGUUUUUAAAUGGGAGAGGGUGUGGCUUAAUGCUAGAGAGUUUGCAUAGCACAUGUAAGGCUUCAAAUUUAAUUCCCUGAAUCAAAAGACAAAAAGAUGGUUGUGGGAGGAAGGAAGAA
rnacentral:sRNA from 1 species